CAGGUAUCAUCAGGUAUGGCGAAAACCCUUUUAUGGAACCAGCAGUGAGAGAGAAGAAUACAGGAAGGAGUUGCGUGACCAGUUAAAGAGGCAAAUAGAGGAGAAAUGUGUUGCACUGAGGCUGCAGCUGGCAGGUAAAGUGAAGGAUGCAGAGUAUUCACGUGAAGUAGACUGCCUCGCCCUGUCCAGUGAAAGAGAGCAAAGGAUCCAACACAUCAAAGCUAUGUCAGCAUACAGAGAUGAAAACAAGAAGCUAAUGGAGCAGAGCUGGAGGGACAGAGCACUAACACGGUCCCAGGAGGCCAUGAAGGAGAGAGAGCUGCUGCGUCUCAACCCCAUCAACUGGAGUGGAACACUGAAAUAGGUUGAACCUUAACAUCCAGAGUCACAACUGCAGACUCCAGCCUCGCUGUAGCUCAUCGAUGUGCAUGAGUGUCGGAUGAAAAUGGGAUGCAACAUGAACAGUAUAUGUAAUCAGUGUUGUGAUAACCACUGAAGAAAUUUCGGAGAUAUUUCUGUUUUCUAAAGCUCCUGGGCAUUUUUAUGUUUUUCCAUUUUAAUCAUAUAGGUUCAUUUAUUCACAGCUUUGGAUUCCAAUUCAGUCAGGUGUUUCAUUGACUUCCUACGUGUCCUAUAAAUUAUGACGCAACAUGAAAUUGUACAAACUAAUUAUACAAGCUAGAAACGUGUUGCUG